GACCGCGUAGCUCAGUUGGCAGAGCAUUGGGCUAGUAUUCCAAAGGUGAAAAGUCGUAGGUUCGAUUCCCACCGUGGCCA